CCCGACGACAAGAGUGCUGUGGUCCUACCUGACCCCAUACCGAACUCAGAAGUAAAACGCAGUAACGUCGAUGGUAGUGUGGUGAU
rnacentral:rRNA from 1 species